UACGUAGGGUGCAAGCGUUGUCCGGAAUUAUUGGGCGUAAAGAGCUCGUAGGCGGUUUGUCGCGUCUGCUGUGAAAACCCGAGGCUCAACCCCGGGCCUGCAGCCGAUACGGGCAGACUAGAGUUCGGCAGGGGAGACUGGAAUUCCUGGUGUAGCGGUGAAAUGCGCAGAUAUCAGGAGGAACACCGGUGGCGAAGGCGGGUCUCUGGGCCGAUACUGACGCUGAGGAGCGAAAGCGUGGGGAGCGAACAGG
rnacentral:rRNA from 1 species